UACGUAGGGGGGCGAGCGUUGUCCGGAUUUAUUGGGCGUAAAGAGCGUGUAGGCGGCCAGGUAGGUCUGCUGUGAAAACUCGAGGCUCAACCUCGAGACGUCGGCGGAAACCAUCUGGCUAGAGUCCGGAAGAGGAGAGUGGAAUUCCUGGUGUAGCGGUGAAAUGCGCAGAUAUCAGGAAGAACACCCGUGGCGAAGGCGGCUCUCUGGGACGGUACUGACGCUGAGACGCGAAAGCGUGGGGAGCGAACGGG
rnacentral:rRNA from 1 species